CAAAUUUUCUUCCUCUCUUCUCUCAGGGCAAUCUCUUACAUAAUGCUCUUGGGAACCACACCUGAAACAAGCUCGUUUAAAUCCCCAACACUCACCAAUAUGUCGCCUGCCACACUGUUGACAUUCAGGCCGGGUGUUUCCUACAUUGCCCACACUUGCUAUAGAGGUAGCUCGAGUUGUAGCUCCAGAAUACGACCUCCCUCGGUCUCUGCGUGAAUACCCAACUGAACCAGUUGGUCGUGGAUCCAUCCCUUUAAACUUCUUCGAAUGAGAUUGAAAUGUUCUGCCCAUUGUCCUCUUCCUUACAUCUCGAGAUUCCAUCUCUGCCCUUCUCUUUUCUCUACUCAGUUCUUCAGCUUUACAGGCCCGAUCAACU
rnacentral:lncRNA from 1 species